rnacentral:rRNA from 1 species
ACUUUAUUAAAAAUUUUGUGCUUGAUUAGUAAUCAGUUAUUUUCUUGAAACUUAGAGGAUUUGGCGGUAUUCAAGUCUAGUUAGAGGAACCUGCUCAGUAAACGAUAUGCCCCGUAAAAUCUUUCUUUAUUUUGUUUCCAGUUUGUAUACCGCCAUUAUUAAGUAGUGUUUAUAGAUAAAUAUUGGGAUAAUAUUUUAGUAUAUUAGGUCAAGGUGCAGCUAAUAGUAAAGUUGAAGUGGGUUACAUUUAGUUUUAUUAAAGUCGGAUUUAAAUUUUAUAAUUUUAUUGAAGUUGGAUUUAAUUGUAAUUUUGUUUUAAUAAGGCAUUAUGAUAGUAGCUCUAGAAUAUGU